UAUUGCAUCAUUCACCGCCGCCGGUGUCCGCUCGGUGCCGCGCCGCGGCGCUAGGGGGCGCUGUCCUCCCGCCGCAGCCGCUGGCUGGUGGCGCGCGCCGUUCUGGAAGGUUCGGGCACCGCCGCGGGGGGGCCCGGCCGGGGCGGGGGGGCUGAACCGCCAGCUCCCGGCUGCCCCCCAGCAGCGCCCCCCGUUUCCCGGGCCGCCGUGCCCGCCGUGCCUGUCGGCAGCGGGGAGGGCGGGGCGGGCCCCCCAGCUGCUCCCCCGGACGUUCCCGCGAUGCCGCGGCCCCUCCAGCGCCGCGCGGUCGCGGCAGGUGCGGGAAGGGGUCCUCGGUCCUCGUCGUGUCCUCCCGCCGCCGCCGCCUCCUGGGCCAGCAGCAGGCGGGGAGGGGCUCCGGGGGUGCCUCUCCGGGAAGCGGCCCCGGCCCCAUUCCCCCCGCCCGGGAAGCCGCUGCCCCGGGACGGGGCUUUGGUGGCCCGAUAACCGGGCAAGUCGUGUCAGCGCAACGGGCGGGUCCGCGGUUGCGGGAGGGGGCGGGCGGGGCGCGCCCCCGUAACGUCCCCGGUCACGGUCCCGCAUAGCCCCGGUCACAGCCCUGCACGGCCCCGGGCACGGUCCCGCAUGGCCGCGGCCGCACUCCCGCAGGGACCGGCUGUGCAGAGGCAAAGAUGCGUUGAAACACGUCGCUAUAGACCGCGGGCACCAGGCAGCGCGUAUCUUUUCCUAAUGUCGACUUACUGCGCUGGUUUCUUUUUCUUGCCUCCUGUCCCUGUCCCCAUCCCCCCGUUUGGCUUUUUCCUUACUCCUUUAUUGACAAAAAAAUCUCGGUGUAACUCCUGCGGAUAAGUGCUCUUAAAGGUUGUCUUUGAGGAAUGCUGAACCCAAGUCUUCAGAAAGAGAAGGGGGGGAACCCCAACCAAACCAAACCAGACCCCAACCCGUUCUAAAUCCAGGUCUUUUCUCUCUCUGUCGGGCCGGGAUCCCCUGGAGGCCUCUGCACCGACUGCAGCACAAACCCGCAGCGCAAACCUGCAAUUCCAAAUGAAUGCCUGCACGUUCUGCCACCGCUUCACCAAAACAGUGAGAACAUUGGCGCCUGUUUCAUGGCAAGUUACUUGAUCAUGAUUUAUUAAGGGGAAAGAAAAGCUCUGGAAAUAGAGGGGGGUUUAAUUAACUGAAUCGUUACAGGGUUGGUUGUUAAAAUCGUAUUAAGCAGGUAUCUGAUGAUCUCCGUCCUAGAUUGGGUAAUCUCAUAGUUUCCAAUGGUUAGUGAGUGUUUUAACCACUGAAGCAUGAGGUUGGUUUUUUUUUUUUCUUUCUCUCCUAAAAGAGUGGAUUGUUGUCCACACAAUCAUUUUUUGCCAUUUUGACCAUGCUAACAUUUUUUGCUCAGUCUUUGGCUGGCAGAUGAGAAAGCUAAAUCUGAACACACUGUUCUUGGCAAUGACUUGUCUUUCCACUCUUCCAGUCAGUGGUAUCAUGAUUUCCAUGUUAAAUUCUGUUUACUUCUCGUUGUGAAGGCACUCCAUUUUACCCCCAUUGUUUCCCAGUUACCUGUUUGCCUUGGGCCUUUCUCUUCAUCCCUGACAGCGUGUGAGUGGCAUCAGCUUGUGCCAUGAGCAGAUACCACAUUCCCACUAGUUGCUCCUACUUUGCAAAAUCUUCACAGCAAAAAGCAAGCAAAUGCACAGCUGAAAAAAGCGUUAACCAGCUGAGGGGCGUUCUGGCAGACCUCGCUGCCCAAAAGACCUGCAGAGCCAUCUCUGGGGAUGAGCAGCCCUGCCUGGGGAUACCUGCCAUCCACGUUCCUCACCCUGGCACCCAGCAACCCCUCAGAGCCCCCCAGAGCCCAUAGGAAGGUGCUUUCGUAAAGCAAUAUUCCUGCAUUUGCAGGUUGGAAUUUUAGAACAGAAUUCAUAAUGGUUCACAGUCACCUGUUGGAUUUUUACUGCUCUGUAAUAACAAAAAUUAAGUAAUUUUCAAGUGUGAAACAGUUUAAUUUGUCCAGGUUGAUGGGUUUAAAAAGAAUACAUCAUAAAUGCUCAAGGUGCCUUUUGUGUGCAAUUGCUCUCUUUGUACACCACCACCUCCAAUACAAAUGGAUUCCUUUUCCCAAGUCAGCAUUUCUUAUUUGUACAACUGCUCAAAUUGUUUGUGUGGCAAGAAAUAAAGCUCUCUAAUGUCCUGGUUUAUAUGUACAGUAGAAAGGCUUGGGGCUUACCCUAGGACAAGCUAGGCAAGCUCCUGCUGGACCAUUCUUUUCCAGACCUCCUGCCCUUGAUGGGGACUUUCAGGGGAGACACCCCCCCCCCCGCCCUUGGAAGGCUGUUUGGUGCACUUGGUCACCAGAAUGCUGCUGUUCCCCCAGCAGCUGCCCCGUGCCAUGGGGCUGCCCGUGGGAGCGGGCUGUGAUCCAGCCAUGCUGCACAAGCAGGAGCCCAGUGCUGCAGACCCCAAGCCCCCUGAGCCAGGGUGCAAGCCCAGAGGCAUCACAAGCCCUAUAAAAGGGUUUAGGCCAGAGGCUACAAUAAAAGCUGACUCACUUUGCUCCAUUUGUUCACCUGCUGUGAAAGGCCAUGCUGUGUCCUGAGCACUUGUAAGAGCAAGCGGCUGUCAAGAUUUCGAGUGCCAGUCCUCACUAUCUCCUUAAAGUUUUUCCUGUAUCUGUUUUACUUGUAUGGGAAACAGUUAUUCUUGUAUCUCUGAAUGCUGAAACCAAACACAACUGAAAUAAAUUUAAAAAAAAUG